rnacentral:rRNA from 1 species
UACGAAGGGGGCUAGCGUUGCUCGGAAUCACUGGGCGUAAAGGGUGCGUAGGCGGGUCUUUAAGUCAGGGGUGAAAUCCUGGAGCUCAACUCCAGAACUGCCUUUGAUACUGAAGAUCUUGAGUUCGGGAGAGGUGAGUGGAACUGCGAGUGUAGAGGUGAAAUUCGUAGAUAUUCGCAAGAACACCGGUGGCGAAGGCGGGUCUCUGGACAGUUCCUGACGCUCAGGCACGAAAGCCAGGGAGCAAACGGG